UGAGAAGCCAAAAGAUGAUGGAGUCUCGGAAGACAAAAGUACUCAGGGUGGUGUAUUGAACUGGAUCUCUCAGGGUUUGACCAGUGCCCUCCCCCAGCCUACAGCCCCACCUACCAAGGACAAAGCAGACAGUGAUGCCAAGCAACAGGAGGAAAAUAGCAACAG